GGAAUCUUCCACAAUGGGCGAAAGCCUGAUGGAGCAACGCCGCGUGUGUGAUGAAGGGUUUCGGCUCGUAAAACACUGUUGUAAGAGAAGAAUGACAUUGAGAGUAACUGUUCAAUGUGUGACGGUAUCUUACCAGAAAGGAACGGCUAAAUACGUGCGAG
rnacentral:rRNA from 1 species